UCUUCAUCCUCUUGAAAUGUAUCUUAGCAACUUAGUAACUACAAUCUACUGCUCACCUUUUUCCUGCCAGGUUCUGGGUUAAAUGCUGAAGAAGGAUGUGGUAGUGAGGAAGACCCAGUCCCUGCCCACAAGAGGUUAUAUUUAACGGAGGAGGUAGCAACACAGCCAACUUGGAGGCAUGUUCGUUCUGCCUAGAGGCUUCCAGAAGCCAGGAUGGCAUACAGCAGGUGCUCACUGCAGGUUUGAAUGAAGAACUAGUCGAAACUGGGAGUUGGUGGUGA
rnacentral:lncRNA from 1 species